rnacentral:rRNA from 1 species
UGGGGAAUUUUGCACAAUGGGGGAAACCCUGAUGCAGCGACGCCGCGUGAUUUAGAAGGCCUUCGGGUUGUAAAAAUCUUUUGUAUGGGAAGAAAAUGACAGUACCAUACGAAUAAGGACCGGCUAAUUACGUGCCAGCAGCCGCGGUAAUACGUAAGGUCCGAGCGUUGUCCGGAAUCAUUGGGCAUAAAGGGUACGUAGGCGGAUAAGCAAGUUAGAAGUGAAAUCCUAUAGCUCAACUAUAGUAAGCUUUUAAAACUGCUCAUCUUGAGGUAUGGAAGGGAAAGUGGAAUUCCUAGUGUAGCGGUGAAAUGCGCAGAUAUUAGGAGGAAUACCGGUGGCGAAGGCGACUUUCUGGCCAUAUACUGACGCUGAGGUACGAAAGCGUGGGUAGCAAACAGG